ACCAGACUCCUACGGGAGGCAGCAGUGGGGAAUAUUGCACAAUGGGGGAAACCCUGAUGCAGCGACGCCGCGUGAGUGAAGAAGUAUUUCGGUAUGUAAAGCUCUAUCAGCAGGGAAGAAAGAAAUGACGGUACCUGACUAAGAAGCCCCGGCUAACUACGUGCCAGCAGCCGCGGUAAUACGUAGGGGGCAAGCGGUAUCCGGAUUUACUGGGUGUAAAGGGAGCGUAGACGGCAGAGCAAGUCUGAAGUGAAAGCCCGCGGCCCAACUGCGGGACUGCUUUGGAAACUGCCCGGCUAGAGUGCUGGAGAGGUAAGCGGAAUUCCUAGUGUAGCGGUGAAAUGCGUAGAUAUUAGGAGGAACACCAGUGGCGAAGGCGGCUUACUGGACAGUAACUGACGUUGAGGCUCAAAAGCGUGGGGAGCAAACAGGAUUAGAUACCCGGGUACU
rnacentral:rRNA from 1 species